rnacentral:rRNA from 1 species
CUACGGGAGGCAGCAGUGAGGAAUAUUGCACAAUGGGGGAAACCCUGAUGCAGCAACGCCGCGUGGAGGAUGACGCAUUUCGGUGUGUAAACUCCUUUUAUGAGUCAAGAAAAUGACGGUAGCUCAUGAAUAAGCACCGGCUAACUCCGUGCCAGCAGCCGCGGUAAUACGGAGGGUGCAAGCGUUGCUCGGAAUCACUGGGCGUAAAGGACGCGUAGGCGGGAUGUCAAGUCAGGUGUGAAAGCCUAUGGCUCAACCAUAGAACUGCACUUGAAACUGGCAACCUAGAGUAUGGGAGGGGGAGAUGGAAUUAGUGGUGUAGGGGUAAAAUCCGUAGAUAUCACUAGGAAUACCGAAAGCGAAGGCGAUCUCCUGGAACAUUACUGACGCUAAGGCGUGAAAGCGUGGGGAGCAAACAGGAUUAGAUACCCGCGUAGUC